rnacentral:rRNA from 1 species
UACAGAGGUCCCAAGCGUUGUUCGGAUUCACUGGGCGUAAAGGGUGCGUAGGUGGUCAGGUAAGUCUGAUGUGAAAGCUCUGGGCUCAACCCAGAAAUGGCAUUGGAUACUAUCUGGCUAGAGGAAUGGAGGGGGGACUGGAAUACUUGGUGUAGCAGUGAAAUGCGUAGAUAUCAGGAGGAGCACCGAUUGCGAAGGCAGCUCGCUGGGACGUUACUGACGCUGAGACGCGAAAGCGUGGGGAGCAAACAGG